UCCGGUUUGUCACCGGCAGUCGGUCCAGAGGGCCCACCUUUACGUGCUGGCAACUGGACCCAAGGGUUGCGCUCGUUGCGGGACUUAACCCAACAUCUCACGACACGAGCUGACGACAACCAUGCACCACCUGUCUCCUCUGUCUCCGAAGAGCCCAACCUAUCUCUAGGUUGUUCAGAGGGAUGUCAAGACCUGGUAAGGUUCUUCGCGUUGCUUCGAAUUAAACCACAUACUCCACUGCUUGUGCGGGUCCCCGUCAAUUCCUUUGAGUUUCAGUCUUGCGACCGUACUCCCCAGGCGGAAUGCUUACUGUGUUAACUUCGGCACCAAGGGUGUCGAAACCCCUGACACCUAGCAUUCAUCGUUUACGGCGUGGACUAC
rnacentral:misc_RNA from 1 species